rnacentral:tRNA from 1 species
GUGGGCGUAGCUCAAUUGGUAGAGCACUGGACUGUGGCUCCAGGGGUCGGGGGUUCGAGGCCCCUCGCCCACCCCU